AUACGUAGGGUGCGAGCGUUGUCCGGAAUUACUGGGCGUAAAGAGCUCGUAGGUGGUUUGUCGCGUCGUCUGUGAAAUUCCGGGGCUUGACUCCGGGCGUGCAGGCGAUACGGGCAUAACUUGAGUACUGUAGGGGAGACUGGAAUUCCUGGUGUAGCGGUGAAAUGCGCAGAUAUCAGGAGGAACACCGGGGGCGAAGGCGGGUCUCUGGGCAGUAACUGACGCUGAGGAGCGAAAGCAUGGGUAGCGAACAUGAUUAGAUACCCUGGUAGUCCAUGCCGUAAACGGUGGGCGCUAGGUGUAGGGGUCUUCCACGACUUCUGUGCCGUAGCUAACGCAUUAAGCGCCCCGCCUGGGGAGUACGGCCGCAAGGCUAAAACUCAAAGGAAUUGACGGGG
rnacentral:rRNA from 1 species